CCAAUAGCGUAUAUUAAAGUUGUUGCAGUUAAAAAGCUUGUAGUUGAAUUUCGGGGUCAGUAGAUUGGUCAUGCCAUCGGUAUGUACUGGUCUUACUGGCUCCUCCUUCCUGAUGAACCGUAAUGCCAUUAAUUUGGUGUUGCGGGGAAACUGGACUGUUACUUUGAAAAAAUUAGAGUGUUUAAAGCAGGCUAACGCUUGAAUACAUUAGCAUGGAAUAAUGAAAUAGGACGUUCGAUCUUAUUUUGUUGGUUUCUAGGAUUGACAUAAUGAUUAAUAGGAAUAGUUGGGGUCAUUAGUAUUCAAUUGUCAGAGGUGAAAUUCUUGGAUUUAUUGAAGACUAACUACUGCGAAAGCAUUUGCCAAGGAUGUUUUCAUUAAUCAAGAACGAAAGUUAGGGGAUCGAAGACAAUCAGAUACCAUCGUAGUCUUAACCAUAAACUAUGCCAACUAGGGAUCGGAUGAUGUUAAUUUUUUAAUGACUCAUUCGGCGCCUUACG
rnacentral:rRNA from 1 species